AGUGCAAUUGCUGGGUUAUAUGGUACAUGCAUGUUUAGUUUUAUAAGAAAUUGUCAAACUGUUUUCCAGAGUGGCCGUACCAUUUUAUAUUCCCACCAGCAAC
rnacentral:pre_miRNA from 1 species